rnacentral:ncRNA from 2 species
UCAGAUGCAACGAACUGAAGUAGUAGUGGAGACAUUCCGUUUAGAGAACUGGUGGGUGGUGCAAACCAGUCGGAACUGUCCAUGAACUCGUCAGGGAGCAUGAUUCGUGAAAAACGAGUAGCGAAUCCGGUCCUUCACACCGUUAUCUGUGAGUCAAGCGGUCUGUCAUUGACAGACAACGUGGGUGGUACCGCGGAAGCCAAACCGGUCUUUCGUCCCUAUU